rnacentral:snRNA from 1 species
GUGCUCACUUCAGCAGCACAGAUACUAAAAAUUGGAACAAUACAGUAAAGGUUAGUAUGGCCCCUGUGCAAGGAUGACACCCAAAUUUGUGAAGUGUUCCAUAUUCUU